AUGCACGCUGGCGGCGUGCCUAAUACCUGCAAGUCGAGCGAACGGACGAGAAGCUUGCUUUUCUGAUGUUAGCGGCGGACGGGUGAGUAACACGUGGAUAACCUACCUAUAAGCCUGGGAUAACUUCGGGAAACCGGAGCUAAUACCGGAUAAUAUUUUGAACCGCAUGGUUCAAAAGUGAAAGACGGUCUUGCUGUCACUUAUAGAUGGAUCCGCGCUGCAUUAGCUAGUUGGUAAGGUAACGGCUUACCAAGGCAACGAUGCAUAGCCGACCUGAGAGGGUGAUCGGCCACACUGGAACUGAGACACGGUCCAGACUCCUACGGGAGGCAGCAGUAGGGAAUCUUCCGCAAUGGGCGAAAGCCUGACGGAGCAACGCCGCGUGAGUGAUGAAGGUCUUCGGAUCGUAAAACUCUGUUAUUAGGGAAGAACAUAUGUGUAAGUAACUGUGCACAUCUUGACGGUACCUAAUCAGAAAGCCACGGCUAACUACGUG
rnacentral:rRNA from 1 species